rnacentral:rRNA from 1 species
GGAAGUAAAAGUCGUAACAAGGUUUCCGUAGGUGAACCUGCGGAAGGAUCAUUGUCGUGACCCUGACCAAAACAGACCGCGCACGCGUCAUCCAAUCCGUCGGUGACGGCAUCGUCCGUCGCUCGGCCAAUGCCUCGACCACCUCCCCUCCUCGGAGUGGGUGGGGGCUCGGGGUAAAAGAACCCACGGCGCCGAAGGCGUCAAGGAACACUGUGCCUAACCCGGGGGCAUGGCUAGCUUGCUAGCCAUCCCUCGUGUUGCAAAGCUAUUUAAUCCACACGACUCUCGGCAACGGAUAUCUCGGCUCUCGCAUCGAUGAAGAACGUAGCGAAAUGCGAUACCUGGUGUGAAUUGCAGAAUCCCGCGAACCAUCGAGUCUUUGAACGCAAGUUGCGCCCGAGGCCACUCGGCCGAGGGCACGCCUGCCUGGGCGUCACGCCAAAACACGCUCCCAACACCCCUCAUCGGGAAUCGGGAUGCGGCAUCUGGUCCCUCGUCUCGCAAGGGGCGGUGGACCGAAGAUCGGGCUGCCGGCGUACCGCGCCGGACACAGCGCAUGGUGGGCGUCCUCGCUUUAUCAACGCAGUGCAUCCGACGCGCAGCCGGCAUGAUGGCCUCAAAACGACCCAGCAAACGAAGCGCACGUCGCUUCGACCGCGACCCCAGGUCAGGCGGGACUACCCGCUGAGUUUAAGCAUCAAUAAGCGGAGGA